rnacentral:lncRNA from 1 species
UACUUUACCCGAUUGCAUUUUAUUGGAAUUGAGAUAAUACCUCAGAGAAAUUUGACUUUACUUUUUUGUUUCCGAAGUAACUCUCAUCAACUAGCACUAGUUUGAGGUGAACUAGCACUAGUUUGAUGUCAACCUUUAGGUUUCCGAAGUAACUCUCAUCAACUAGCACUAGUUCGAGGUGAAGUAGCACUAGUUUGAUGUCAACCUUUAGGAGUAAUUCAUCAAAUUGGUUAAAUCUAAAUAAUAACAUACUCUUUAUUUAAUACGAUCCCACUAUACAUAUCGAUAUACAUAGAGAUUCACCGACUACAUUUCAGCGAUGCUGAUAUAUUUGAAAAUUGCUAGAAUUGAUAUAUCCAUAUAU